GGUUAAGCGACUAAGCGUACACGGUGGAUGCCCUGGCAGUCAGAGGCGAUGAAGGACGUGCUAAUCUGCGAAAAGCGUCGGUAAGGUGAUAUGAACCGUUAUAACCGGCGAUGUCCGAAUGGGGAAACCCAGUGUGAUUCGUCACACUAUCGUUAACUGAAUACAUAGGUUAACGAGGCGAACCGGGGGAACUGAAACAUCUAAGUACCCCGAGGAAAAGAAAUCAACCGAGAUUCCCCCAGUAGCGGCGAGCGAACGGGGAGCAGCCCAGAGUCUGAAUCAGCUUGUGUGUUAGUGGAACGGUCUGGAAAGUCCGACGGUACAGGGUGAUAGUCCCGUACACCAAAAUGCACAGGCUGUGAACUCGAAGAGUAGGGCGGGACACGUGGUAUCCUGUCUGAAUAUGGGGGGGACCAUCCUCCAAGGCUAAAUACUCCUGACUGACCGAUAGUGAACCAGUACCGUGAGGGAAAGGCGAAAAGAACCCCGGCGAGGGGAGUGAAAAAGAACCUGAAACCGUGUACGUACAAGCAGUGGGAGCACCUUCGGGUGUGACUGCGUACCUUUUGUAUAAUGGGUCAGCGACUUAUAUUCUGUAGCAAGGUUAACCGUAUAGGGGAGCCGCAGGGAAACCGAGUCUUAACUGGGCGUUAAGUUGCAGGGUAUAGACCCGAAACCCGGUGAUCUAGCCAUGGGCAGGUUGAAGGUUGGGUAACACUAACUGGAGGACCGAACCGACUAAUGUUGAAAAAUUAGCGGAUGACUUGUGGCUGGGGGUGAAAGGCCAAUCAAACCGGGAGAUAGCUGGUUCUCCCCGAAAGCUAUUUAGGUAGCGCCUCGUGAACUCAUCUUCGGGGGUAGAGCACUGUUUCGGCUAGGGGGUCAUCCCGACUUACCAACCCGAUGCAAACUACGAAUACCGAAGAAUGUUAUCACGGGAGACACACGGCGGGUGCUAACGUCCGUCGUGAAGAGGGAAACAACCCAGACCGCCAGCUAAGGUCCCAAAGUCAUGGUUAAGUGGGAAACGAUGUGGGAAGGCACAGACAGCCAGGAUGUUGGCUUAGAAGCAGCCAUCAUUUAAAGAAAGCGUAAUAGCUCACUGGUCGAGUCGGCCUGCGCGGAAGAUGUAACGGGGCUAAACCAUGCACCGAAGCUGCGGCAGCGACACUAUGUGUUGUUGGGUAGGGGAGCGUUCUGUAAGCCUGCGAAGGUGUGCUGUGAGGCAUGCUGGAGGUAUCAGAAGUGCGAAUGCUGACAUAAGUAACGAUAAAGCGGGUGAAAAGCCCGCUCGCCGGAAGACCAAGGGUUCCUGUCCAACGUUAAUCGGGGCAGGGUGAGUCGACCCCUAAGGCGAGGCCGAAAGGCGUAGUCGAUGGGAAACAGGUUAAUAUUCCUGUACUUGGUGUUACUGCGAAGGGGGGACGGAGAAGGCUAUGUUAGCCGGGCGACGGUUGUCCCGGUUUAAGCAUGUAGGCUGAUUGUCCAGGCAAAUCCGGAUAAUCAAGGCUGAGGUGUGAUGACGAGGCACUACGGUGCUGAAGUAACAAAUGCCCUGCUUCCAGGAAAAGCCUCUAAGCAUCAGGUAACAUCAAAUCGUACCCCAAACCGACACAGGUGGUCAGGUAGAGAAUACCAAGGCGCUUGAGAGAACUCGGGUGAAGGAACUAGGCAAAAUGGUGCCGUAACUUCGGGAGAAGGCACGCUGGUGUGUAGGUGAAGUCCCUGCGGAUGGAGCUGAGACCAGUCGAAGAUACCAGCUGGCUGCAACUGUUUAUUAAAAACACAGCACUGUGCAAACACGAAAGUGGACGUAUACGGUGUGACGCCUGCCCGGUGCCGGAAGGUUAAUUGAUGGGGUUAUCCGUAAGGAGAAGCUCUUGAUCGAAGCCCCGGUAAACGGCGGCCGUAACUAUAACGGUCCUAAGGUAGCGAAAUUCCUUGUCGGGUAAGUUCCGACCUGCACGAAUGGCGUAAUGAUGGCCAGGCUGUCUCCACCCGAGACUCAGUGAAAUUGAACUCGCUGUGAAGAUGCAGUGUACCCGCGGCAAGACGGAAAGACCCCGUGAACCUUUACUAUAGCUUGACACUGAACAUUGAGCCUUGAUGUGUAGGAUAGGUGGGAGGCUUUGAAGCGUGGACGCCAGUCUGCGUGGAGCCAACCUUGAAAUACCACCCUUUAAUGUUUGAUGUUCUAACGUUGGCCCCUGACCGGGGUUGCGGACAGUGUCUGGUGGGUAGUUUGACUGGGGCGGUCUCCUCCCAAAGCGUAACGGAGGAGCACGAAGGUUAGCUAAUCCUGGUCGGACAUCAGGAGGUUAGUGCAAUGGCAUAAGCUAGCUUGACUGCGAGCGUGACGGCGCGAGCAGGUGCGAAAGCAGGUCAUAGUGAUCCGGUGGUUCUGAAUGGAAGGGCCAUCGCUCAACGGAUAAAAGGUACUCCGGGGAUAACAGGCUGAUACCGCCCAAGAGUUCAUAUCGACGGCGGUGUUUGGCACCUCGAUGUCGGCUCAUCACAUCCUGGGGCUGAAGUAGGUCCCAAGGGUAUGGCUGUUCGCCAUUUAAAGUGGUACGCGAGCUGGGUUUAGAACGUCGUGAGACAGUUCGGUCCCUAUCUGCCGUGGGCGCUGGAGAAUUGAGGGGGGCUGCUCCUAGUACGAGAGGACCGGAGUGGACGCAUCACUGGUGUUCGGGUUGUCAUGCCAAUGGCACUGCCCGGUAGCUAAAUGCGGAAGAGAUAAGUGCUGAAAGCAUCUAAGCACGAAACUUGCCCCGAGAUGAGUUCUCCCUGAGACUUUAAGUCUCCUGAAGGAACGUUGAAGACGACGACGUUGAUAGGCCGGGUGUGUAAGCGCAGCGAUGCGUUGAGCUAACCGGUACUAAUGAACCGUGAGGCUUAACCUU
rnacentral:rRNA from 1 species